AUUGAACGCUGGCGGCAGGCCUAACACAUGCAAGUCGAGCGGGGUUUUCGGACCUAGCGGCGGACGGGUGAGUAAUGCGUAGGAAGCUACCCGAUAGAGGGGGAUACCAGUUGGAAACGACUGUUAAUACCGCAUAAUGUCUACGGACCAAAGUGUGGGACCUUCGGGCCACAUGCUAUCGGAUGCGCCUACGUGGGAUUAGCUAGUUGGUGAGGUAAUGGCUCACCAAGGCGACGAUCCCUAGCUGGUUUGAGAGGAGGAUCAGCCACACUGGAACUGAGACACGGUCCAGACUCCUACGGGAGGCAGCAGUGGGGAAUAUUGGACAAUGGGCGCAAGCCUGAUCCAGCCAUGCCGCGUGUGUGAAGAAGGCCUUCGGGUUGUAAAGCACUUUCAGUAGGGAGGAAGGGUUAAGUGUUAAUAGUACUUAACUUUGACGUUACCUACAGAAGUAGCACCGGCUAACUCUGUGCCAGCCGCCGCAGUAAUAC
rnacentral:rRNA from 1 species